GCCGGUGCGUGUGUGGGCGGGGCUGAGGGGAGCGCGGAGCGGGGGCGGAGCGAGUGAGCUGCUCUGCCAUGGGAAUGCUGCGCGAAGCUGCGUUUCAGCGUUUCCAAGAUUAUUCGACUUUACGAGCCUAAAAAUGGGUGACCAAGGAAGAUGUGGCAGCCAGCAGUGACCAUCACCUGGAGGGAGCUGUGGCAGAGGUUAGCAGGUUUAUCAACAGAGACUUUUGGUGCAUCAUCAGAAACUGAGGAGAACAGGAUCCUGAAGAUUGGUA
rnacentral:lncRNA from 1 species